rnacentral:rRNA from 1 species
AAUCAACGCUGGCGGCGUGCCUAACACAUGCAAGUCGAGCGAGAAAAGGGGAGCAAUCCCCUGAGUACAGCGGCGCACGGGUGAGUAACACGUGGGUAAUCUGCCCUGGAGUGGGAAAUAACACCGGGAAACCGGUGCUAAUACCGCAUACGAUCACAGAGUCUGCGGAUUUUGUGAUGAAAGGAGCAAUUCGCUCUAGGAGGAGCCCGCGGCUGAUUAGCUAGUUGGUGAGGUAAUGGCUCACCAAGGCAACGAUCAGUAUCCGGUCUGAGAGGACGGUCGGACACACUGGAACUGAGACACGGUCCAGACUCCUACGGGAGGCAGCAGUGGGGAAUUUUUGGCAAUGGGGGCAACCCUGACCAAGCAACGCCGCGUGGGUGAUGAAGUCUCUUGGGACGUAAAACCCUUUCGACGGGGACGAAACCGCAAGGUUGACGGUACCCGUAGAAGAAGCCCCGGCUAACUCCGUGCCAGCCGCCGCAGUAACAC